UCCCUGGUGGCCCAGUGGUUAAGACUCUGCACUCCCAACACAGGGGACCCAACUUUGAUUCUUGGUCAGGGAGCUA
rnacentral:tRNA from 1 species